CCUACGGGAGGCAGCAGUGGGGAAUAUUGGGCAAUGGGCGCAAGCCUGACCCAGCAACGCCGCGUGAAGGAAGAAGGCUUUCGGGUUGUAAACUUCUUUUCUCAGGGACGAAGCAAGUGACGGUACCUGAGGAAUAAGCCACGGCUAACUACGUGCCAGCAGCCGCGGUAAUACGUAGGUGGCAAGCGUUGUUCGGAUUUACUGGGUGUAAAGGGCGGGUAGGCGGGAAAGCAAGUCAGAUGUGAAAACCAUGGGCUCAACCUGUGGCCUGCAUUUGAAACUGUUUUUCUUGAGUACUGGAGAGGCAGACGGAAUUCCCAGUGUAGCGGUGAAAUGCGUAGAUAUUAGGAGGAACACCAGUGGCGAAGGCGGUCUGCUGGACAGCAACUGACGCUGAGGCGCGAAAGCGUGGGGAGCAAACAGGAUUAGAUACCCCUGUAGUC
rnacentral:rRNA from 1 species